rnacentral:lncRNA from 1 species
GUAUUUGUGCCAUAUAAAAAGGGUGCUAGCUAGCGUUCGUUGAGUUCUGUAUCUAAAUAAUAUUAAAUUUUUUUAUAAAAAUAAUAUUUUUUUAAAUUUAUUUACAGAGAUAAUAUAAAACUAUAAAAUAUUAUUUGGAAUAGUAUUUAUUGGAUAGAAAAUAUCAUUUAAAAUGAUAUUUUUUCACUGCACAUCCCCACC